rnacentral:rRNA from 1 species
AACGAACGCUGGCGGCAUGCCUAACACAUGCAAGUCGAACGAGACCUUCGGGUCUAGUGGCGCACGGGUGCGUAACGCGUGGGAACCUGCCCUUAGGUUCGGAAUAACUCCCCGAAAGGGGUGCUAAUACCGGAUAAUGUCUUCGGACCAAAGAUUUAUCGCCUUUGGAUGGGCCCGCGUUGGAUUAGCUAGUUGGUAGGGUAAAAGCCUACCAAGGCGACGAUCCAUAGCUGGUCUGAGAGGAUGAUCAGCCACACUGGGACUGAGACACGGCCCAGACUCAUACGGGAGGAAGCAGUGGGGAAUAUUGGACAAUGGGCGAAAGCCUGAUCCAGCAAUGCCGCGUGAGUGAUGAAGGCCUUAGGGUUGUAAAGCUCUUUUACCCGGGAUGAUAAUGACAGUACCGGGAGAAUAAGCGCCGGCUAACUCCGUG